AUUGAACGCUGGCGGCAUGCCUUACACAUGCAAGUCGAACGGUAACGGGUCCUUCGGGAUGCCGACGAGUGGCGAACGGGUGAGUAAUAUAUCGGAACGUGCCCAGUAGUGGGGGAUAACUGCUCGAAAGAGCAGCUAAUACCGCAUACGACCUGAGGGUGAAAGGGGGGGAUCGCAAGACCUCUCGCUAUUGGAGCGGCCGAUAUCAGAUUAGCUAGUUGGUGGGGUAAAGGCCUACCAAGGCAACGAUCUGUAGUUGGUCUGAGAGGACGACCAGCCACACUGGGACUGAGACACGGCCCAGACUCCUACGGGAGGCAGCAGUGGGGAAUUUUGGACAAUGGGCGCAAGCCUGAUCCAGCAAUGCCGCGUGCAGGAAGAAGGCCUUCGGGUUGUAAACUGCUUUUGUCAGGGAAGAAAUCUUCUGGGCUAAUACCCCGGGAGGAUGACGGUACCUGAAGAAUAAGCACCGGCUAACUACGUGCCAGCAGCCGCGGUAAUACGUAGGGUGCGAGCGUUAAUCGGAAUUACUGGGCGUAAAGCGUGCGCAGGCGGCUUUGCAAGACAGAUGUGAAAUCCCCGGGCUCAACCUGGGAACUGCAUUUGUGACUGCAAGGCUAGAGUACGGCAGAGGGGGAUGGAAUUCCGCGUGUAGCAGUGAAAUGCGUAGAUAUGCGGAGGAACACCAAUGGCGAAGGCAAUCCCCCUGGGCCUGUACUGACGCUCAUGCACGAAAGCGUGGGGAGCAAACAGGAUUAGAUACCCUGGUAGUCCACGCCCUAAACGAUGUCAACUGGUUGUUGGACGGCUUGCUGUUCAGUAACGAAGCUAACGCGUGAAGUUGACCGCCUGGGGAGUACGGCCGCAAGGUUGAAACUCGAAGGAAUUGACGGGGACCCGCACAAGCGGUGGAUGAUGUGGUUUAAUUCGAUGCAACGCGAAAAACCUUACCUACCCUUGACAUGUCAAGAAUUCUGCAGAGAUGUGGAAGUGCUCGAAAGAGAACUUGAACACAGGUGCUGCAUGGCCGUCGUCAGCUCGUGUCGUGAGAUGUUGGGUUAAGUCCCGCAACGAGCGCAACCCUUGUCAUUAGUUGCUACGCAAGAGCACUCUAAUGAGACUGCCGGUGACAAACCGGAGGAAGGUGGGGAUGACGUCAGGUCCUCAUGGCCCUUAUGGGUAGGGCUACACACGUCAUACAAUGGCCGGUACAGAGGGCUGCCAACCCGCGAGGGGGAGCCAAUCCCAGAAAACCGGUCGUAGUCCGGAUCGUAGUCUGCAACUCGACUGCGUGAAGUCGGAAUCGCUAGUAAUCGCGGAUCAGCUUGCCGCGGUGAAUACGUUCCCGGGUCU
rnacentral:rRNA from 1 species